CAACGAGGAGCAAGGCUGGCCACUCCCAUUUAUGCACGAGCUCCCCUAUUUCUGAUCAAGGCUAUAUAAAUCCGGGUCUCGCCGAAAUUCAUGCGAGCACAACAGAAACGCCAGCCUCUUCUCUUGUGCCUGCCUCCCCUUCCUCUCCUGAUCUCCAGAGCGAGAGGGAGGGGGAUCUAGAUUCUAGAUAGAAGCUCCAAACCCGGCCGUUUCGGUUAUCCAGAGAGACCAGAGGACAUGGCGUCAAUCCCCAGAGCGUCGUCCCUUGUCGCCAUGGCCAUCGUCGUCGUGCUCGCCUCCGUGGCCAGCGCCCAGGGCCCCGCCCCGGCACCCGCGAUGGAACGAGCGUGGACCAAGGGAUCGCGUACGUGCUCAUGUUCGUGGCGCUCGCCCUCACCUACCUCAUCCACCCGCUGGACGCCGCCUCCGCCUACAGGCUCCUCUGAACCGAGCUCCCCCUCUUCUGUAACUCGACGCCGCCGUGUGUGUAAUCAGUUCAUCCAGCUUAAUCGUUCGUU